ensembl:lncRNA
GUUGGCAAUGGAAGCAAGGGUAUCUUACUGGAGAUCCCUGUAUACCUGUAGCCUUCAAAAGGUAGAAGACUUGGGUUCACCUACAGAGAGAGACCGCAUGCUUAGGCACUACUGUGGACCUCCUUGAGACUCCUUUUCCCCAGAAAAUAGCUAACUUCAAAGCUGAUGGAGUGGUCAUGGAUGAAGCAAACCAGUGAAAUGAUGAGUGCUAGGAAAUUGUACACCUUCAAGAUCAGGGAGGGCUCUACGCCAUGGAGAAAAUUGACAAGAACUUUGCAGCUGUGGAUAAAUAUUUCUACAAUGUUUUCAACGCAAUCCUUUUAUAUGAGAUGAAGAGUUCAGGCCUUUCAGAAUAAUGGACUAAGAACAUGCAUUAACAGUCCCUCAUUGCCCAUGGGUAACUCAGGUGACCAAGGUCAAACUCCACUGACCCUGGGCAGGACAGGAGCAUGGUGUGGAGUGAAGAGCAAGACAAAGUUUCACAGGACAAGUGAUGGCCAACUGAAGUUUCUCUUUUUGUGCUUUACAGACCUGACAGCUGCAUCUCUUUGAACUGUGGCAAGGCAGAGCAGAGCAGUUCCUCCAGCUGAGGCUACAGGGGCUCUGCUAUGUGGGACUUGUAGAGCUUCUCACCCUCAUUCUUCUUGUUCUCUGCAUCAAGGUAAAUAGUUGCCUUCUAAUUUAUUCUCAUAGACAGUUUUUUUUGUUGUUGUUGUCUUUUUUUUCUUUUUUCCUUCAGGAAUAUGUAGCAGUGGAAUUAGGUAACAGGUCUAUCAAAUAAUCCUUUACUCCUGUGUACUAUCUCACAAGUAAAUGAAACUAACCUACUGCUUGAUGAAAUCGCCUUAUACAAGAUAAAGACAGCAGUUGAGCAUAGAUUGUUCCUAGAAUUGCAUGGCAACAAGCAGAAUCCAUUUUAAGGGUAGGUUCUCAAAUUUAUUUAUGACAUUAACAUAAUUCUGUGAUUUUUAUAAUAAAUCUCACUAACAGAUGAAAGACUGUUUAAGACUAUAAUAUGAGAAGUCCUCCAUUCAGUUCAGAUUCUUUGCGAGAGGGUUUAUGUCUGAGCACAGUGGAGUUACUUCUGUGGAUUAAUUUAGUGGGUUCAGACCAGUCCUACUCAACUCUCCAAAACCAGUGCGAUAAUCAGCAAGUCUCUACACGGAGUUGACGAGUUAAGCAAUCACAGUGACUUGACCAUCAACUUGACCUUUAAGAUCCCUUCAGAAGAGGUUUGAUCCACACUGAUUUACUUUAUCUCUCAGACCGUAAGAUCUGUACUAAAACCCUG